ACAGCCCAGUGAACCCUAAUGGUAAGAUGAAGAGACCCAUACCUACUACUUACUACUUCCAGUCUCCUUACCGCCUCUCCCAGAGCAGGAACUGGAAAGGACUUUGUCAGCCUGGAGGAGACAGGCCUCUUGUUCAGAACUUGUGUCUCAAGUCUCCCACCUAGACCUCUGGUCAGCCUGACAAAAACAGGCCUCCUUAGUAAAUGGUACGGACACCAUGAACCUGAAGGCUGAUCCCCCAGCAAGCCUGAGCAAAACACCUGUGACAGAAACCCCUGCCCUCUCUGGGGGGGAUUGGGGCUUGAACACUUCUAAUGAAGGUUCCUAGCUCCUGCUCCAUUCAUGGCUUCACAGCCCUCCUCAUGUAAAGGCGCCAUGAGUAAUAAACCACAAAUGUGUGUCUGGUGUGCCUGUCGCUUACAGACUUCCCUGGUCACCUCUGGGUGAGUUUUAUUCCGAUGGUUACUAGCUGAAGAAGCAAAGGGGCUCUCCUUGGGGGUCAGAACCUUCCUCUAAAUCAGGGGAUAUAUUCAGGGUAGGAGAUAAGAAGAUACAGGCUCAAGAUCUGAACCCACACAUGCCAGCAGAAUCCUGGGACUGGCCACAUCCUGUCACUGAGUCCUCUGUAUCCCCUUUUGUUAUGCUCAGCAAAGACACCCCAAAUUUGUUGCCUCAAAAUGUCCAUUCUCUCAGUUCUAAGGGCUCAGGGGCUUGCCUGAAUAGGCCUCAAGUGGAUUCCCCCUCAUCUGUCUGUCAGCUAGGAUCCAAUGACAAUGACACCUACCAACCUGUGACUUUUCUGCAUGGCCUGGACUUCCUCACAGCAUGGCAGCAGGAUUCCUAGAAAGCUGUGUCACCUCAUAUGACCAAGCCUUCAGAGUCACAUGCUGCCACUUCCUGCCAGAGCCAGAAAUUUACCCCACUUGAAUUAGAAGACAGACCCACCUCUCAAUGAGGAAAGUAUCAACGUCAUGUUUAAAUGAGAAAAUAUGGGAGAGUACAUUUCGUUGUAGCCCUCAAAAACAAAAUAAAAUAAAAUUAGCUCUCUUGUAGCCCAGGCUAGCACUGAACUCACUAUGUAGUUCAGGAUGACCUUAAAGUUCUGGCCCUCUACUCCUUGCUCUAUCUGCUCCAGUUACAGUUGUGCACCACUGUGCCUGACUUCUACAGUGCUGGGAUUCAAACCUAAGGCUUUAUGCCUGUUAACAUAAGCACUUAACCAAAAAAGCUACAAUCUUAGCCCUUGUUACGGCAUCUUAAAUAACACCACUCAUCUGUAGCAUGAGACAGUAAUGCUCAAAAUUCAGGUGUGGUUCAGUAAGAUUCAGCUCUGUGGAAUAUACACAGAGAGCCUAGGACAGAUCAGACACCUCACUGUACCUGUGGCUGGCUGUCCUCGCUCUAUCUGCUCCAAGACCAAAUAGUAAUCACGGUCCUGCAGAGUGGGCCCAUGUCUCCCCCUAACUUGUCCUUACAGCAAACUGAAGAAAGAUGCCCAACAAAUGUGCCCAUUUUCAUAGAUGACAAAACCAAGCUCUUUCCCUGUGUGUAGAAAAGACAGGAGCGUCAAUGACAGUGUCUCUGUCCCCUUCCUCCAAGGGCAGAGAUCCAAGGAGGGCCACACUCCCCAGACUGUACACAUGCAUUCCUUGCUAAGCAGAGGCCCAGCCACACACAGCUGAUGUCAAGUCCCUACCUCUGUCCCCCUGAGGAGCUGGCAAAAAGCAGCAGACCAUGUUCUCUGCCACACUGGGUCAACUAGGAAACCAGAU
rnacentral:lncRNA from 1 species